GAACAUUGAGCCUUGAUGUGUAGGAUAGGUGGGAGGCUUUGAAGUGUGGACGCCAGUCUGCAUGGAGCCGACCUUGAAAUACCACCCUUUAAUGUUUGAUGUUCUAACGUUGACCCGUGAUCCGGGUUGCGGACAGUGUCUGGUGGGUAGUUUGACUGGGGCGGUCUCCUCCUAAAGAGUAACGGAGGAGCACGAAGGUUGGCUAAUCCUGGUCGGACAUCAGGAGGUUAGUGCAAUGGCAUAAGCCAGCUUGACUGCGAGCGUGACGGCGCGAGCAGGUGCGAAAGCAGGUCAUAGUGAUCCGGUGGUUCUGAAUGGAAGGGCCAUCGCUCAACGGAUAAAAGGUACUCCGGGGAUAACAGGCUGAUACCGCCCAAGAGUUCAUAUCGACGGCGGUGUUUGGCACCUCGAUGUCGGCUCAUCACAUCCUGGGGCUGAAGUAGGUCCCAAGGGUAUGGCUGUUCGCCAUUUAAAGUGGUACGCGAGCUGGGUUUAGAACGUCGUGAGACAGUUCGGUCCCUA
rnacentral:rRNA from 1 species